rnacentral:lncRNA from 1 species
UUUCUUUUUCCAUUCUUCACCUGAGUUUUGAGAAGAAUUGACGAAUUGUUCUUUUGAAGUACUUGAUCUCUAGUGCUUUGCUUUCUUUAAUUCUUGAUAUUCAAUUCGCUAGGGGGGUGUUCAUGUGUUUAGGCUUCUAUGUAAUUGGUAAGUUCGUCUUUUUUUUUUUUUGUUUGAGGGUUAUAGAACAGUUCUUUUAUUUUUAUUUUUGUUAAGAGAUGGUGGUUAAAGUGUAAUUGAUUGAUUGGCUUAUAGGUGAGGUUUAUGAGACGGACGAUCUCUCGGCAAGUUAUGUAAUAGCCUAAAUUUCAGCGACGUAGGAAAUAGUGGUUCGAGACCAUUAAAUUUGGCAAAUGAACUCGUAAAUUAUAUUAUUUAAUUUUUACGAGCCAAAUGUAACUUUUAAAAGAUUUUUGAAAUAGUAAACCGUGUUUUAUAAAGAUUUAUUUGGUUAAGAAAUUGAAAAAAAGAGGUAUUGAGAUCUCAGUGUUAUAAAAUAGCCAUAAAUAUUUUUAUGAAUAUUUACGAAGUGUUAAUAAAGUAGUAUUAAAAAUUUGUCAGAAAAUUUUAACGAUUCGAUAGUUAAUUAGAUAAAAAGAACUAAAUUAAAAAAGUGCAAAACUUGCUAAAGUGAUUAAAUAGCUUAACCAUUAAAUAGGGAAGAACUAAAAGGGAAAUAGACCAUUUUAAAAUGGUUGAGGC